UACGUAGGGGGCAAGCGUUAUCCGGAAUUACUGGGCGUAAAGCGCACGCAGGCGGUUCGUCAAGUUUGGCGUGACAGUUGUCGGCUCAACCGAUAAAGGACUUCAAAAACUGGUGAACUUGAGAGCGAGAGAGGAACAUGGAACUCCAGGUGUAGUAGUGAAAUGCGUAGAUAUCUGGAAGAACACCAAUGGCGAAGGCAAUGUUCUGGCUCGUUUCUGACGCUCAGGUGCGAAAGCCAGGGGAGCGAACGGG
rnacentral:rRNA from 1 species